UACGUAGGGGGCAAGCGUUGUCCGGAUUUAUUGGGCGUAAAGAGCUCGUAGGUGGUUCGGUAAGUCGGAUGUGAAAUCUCCAGGCUCAACCUGGAGGGGUCAUUCGAUACUGCCGUGACUAGAGGUCGGUAGGGGAGUGUGGAAUUCCUGGUGGAGCGGUGAAAUGCGCAGAUAUCAGGAAGAACACCCGUGGCGAAGGCGGCUCUCUGGAACGCAACUGACGCUGAGACGCGAAAGCGUGGGGAGCAAACAGG
rnacentral:rRNA from 1 species